UUCUCCAAUUCAGUUUCACUUUUACCGUUUUCGUGUCACAGCUUGUUUUCUCCGUCUGAAGUGAGACCAGCGGCUUCAACAGUUCAGCAACUUGGAGCUUCACGGACCCAAACGGUUCUGUUGUCCGACCGGCAGAGAGCGAAGACGAACCCGGCAGCAGAACCCUGAACACGGUCAGUUUAAGAGAACUUCUACACUUUAUUGUUGAAAUAUUAGCAGCUUGAGGUUGGUUGUAUUUAACUGUAAAAUAUUUUAGUUAAUAUCUGACGUUUCAUGACCAGCUAACAUUAGCCAGCUAACGGACAUUAGCUAACUAACGACAGCAUGCUAACUAACAAACGUAGGCUAAUAAAAUAAAAUAAAA